CCUGCCCACUGAAUAAUUUUUAAAUGGCCGCAGUAUUCUAACUGUGCAAAGGUAGCAUAAUCAUUAGUCUUUUAAUUGAAGGCUGGUAUGAAUGGUUGGACGAAGUAUAAGCUGUUUCAUAUAAAAUUAUAUUAGAAUUUUAUAUUUUAGUCAAAAAGCUAAAAUUUUAUUAAAAGACGAGAAGACCCUAUAAAUCUUUAUAUUUAAUAUUAUUCAAAUUUUUUUGAUUAAUUUUAUUUUUAUAGUUUUAAAUAUUUUGUUGGGGUGAUGUUAAAAUUUAAUGAACUUUUAAUUAUUAAUUUAAAUCAUUAAUUUAUGAAUAAUUGAUCCAUUAUUAAUGAUUAUAAGAUUAAGUUACUUUAGGGAUAACAGCGUAAUUUUUUUUGAGAGUUCAUAUCGACAAAAAAGUUUGCGACCUCGAUGUUGGAUUAAGAUAUAUCUUUAGGUGUAGCAGCUUAAAUAUAAAGUCUGUUCGACUUUUAAAUUCUU
rnacentral:rRNA from 1 species